rnacentral:piRNA from 1 species
UCAUUCAAGGUGCAUCAGACUAAACAUAGCC